CGGGGAGUGGUGUAAUGGCCGGCAUCCUAGUUUUGGGAACUAGCGGUGGGAGUUCGAUUCUCCGCUCCCCGACCA
rnacentral:tRNA from 1 species